rnacentral:rRNA from 1 species
CGGAAUCUGCCUAUUUGUGGGGGAUAACGUAGGGAAACUUACGCUAAUACCGCAUACGACCUACGGGUGAAAGCGGAGGACCUUCGGGCUUCGCGCAGAUAGAUGAGCCGAUGUCGGAUUAGCUAGUUGGCGGGGUAAAGGCCCACCAAGGCGACGAUCCGUAGCUGGUCUGAGAGGAUGAUCAGCCACACUGGAACUGAGACACGGUCCGGACUCCUACGGGAGGCAGCAGUGGGGAAUAUUGGACAAUGGGCGCAAGCCUGAUCCAGCCAUGCCGCGUGGGUGAAGAAGGCCUUCGGGUUGUAAAGCCCUUUUGUUGGGAAAGAAAAGCAGUCGGUUAAUACCCGAUUGUUCUGACGGUACCCAAAGAAUAAGCACCGGCCAACUUCGUGCCAGCAGCCGCGGUAAUACGAAGGGUGCAAGCGUUACUCGGAAUUACUGGGCGUAAAGCGUGCGUAGGUGGUUUGUUAAGUCUGAUGUGAAAGCCCUGGGCUCAACCUGGGAAUUGCAUUGGAUACUGGCAGGCUAGAGUGCGGUAGAGGGUAGUGGAAUUCCCGGU